GUGGCCAUAAAACACCAAACUCACGUUGGCAGCCACAGUCAAGAGUAAGGUGAAGGGCUGUGAGGGAAAUUUCUAAUGCUUUGUAUCACAAACAGACAGGGCUGAGUUUAUACCAAACCAGAGAAGGUCAUGCAAAGUGGAAACCCUAGGGGCCCAAGAGCCUUGGUUAGAUUUUUCUCUAUCAUUUGCUCUCAAAGAACCCUGUAAUAUUUCAUUCCUAGCAUACCUUAUAAUUACAGCAGAUUACUGAGUAAUUAUUUGUUAGUGUUGUUCUCUUUAGACUCUAAGUUCCAGGUAAGCAGGGAUAAUCUUGUCCCUGGACGUUGCCUUCUGCCCAGCAUGUAGUGUCUAACUCACAGUAGGUUCUCAGUGAUGACUGGGUCAUUGAAUGAGUAAAAUCGGUGCAAUCAGGGGUGCAACAGGAAUGAGCACCCAUGUCGCAGGGAUGGCUGGUGAAGGAGAGAGGCAAGAAGAAACUGCACUAGUAGAGUUGUGGUUCCCUUUGGGGGUGACUCCAGGUCUUCCAGGUAUAGUGUAGCCCAUGGACUAGGAGCCUCAGCAUCACUGAGAGCUUGAUGGGACUGGAGAUCUUGGCCCCACCUGCUGAUGAAACAGGGUCCGCAUUUGAAAAGAGAUCCAGGGGAUUUGUGUGUGCCUUAAAGUCUGAGAAGCACUGCUGUAUGACACGAGCAAACACCCUACCACCUAAUGUAAUCAUAAGACUGCUGAGGGCACGCCAAGCACCAGUGGCCAAGGAAAAUGAGGGGAAGGUGGAGAACCUGCCCACCGAAACCAUUACACAAUGGUAUAGAUGUAACGUGAUGUUCUAUCUUCAGACAGGGAAGCCUCUUGCAGAGAGCACAAUGAAGAAGGUAAGCAACUUAAUGUAGACUUACAUAGCCAGUCCUGAAAUUGGUCUGUGUGAAGUGACUGAAAGGCAGCAAAUCAUGGCAAGUUUUAAGACUAUAAACAUUAUUAAUUCACAUGGGGAAAAAAUCACACCCUUCAAACAAGGAAAGCCAAAGGUUGAAAUGUAGGGACCAUUUGUUCACAAUUGAUUCAUACCAAUUGGCUGAAUUUGCAGGAAAGGAAAGAGAAAAUGAGCAUGAAUGAAUGAAUCCUGGGAGGUAAAUAGUUGGUUAAAUCAGUGGCACAGGUCAGUGAUAUUCAAACUGUGCCUUGUUGAAUAUGAGGUUCUUAAGAGAUCCCUCUGAGAAUGAUGUGAGAGGGAAGGAGGUAAAUGGGAGACAGGAGGCCAUAUUCAGCCAGAAGAACUGUUUUAUAUAUCUGGGUAUCACAUUCUACCAAGGAGCUGGAGUGGUACAACAGAGACAUGGGUUGGCUUGCAUGCCAUGUUGGAUGGAUGACAAAAAAAGGGUUUGGUCAGUGGGAAGUUUUAACCUAAAUAAUUAUAAUAGGUCAUGGGGGUGUCUUCAGACCCUCCUUACAGGAAAGGAUAGAAAGUAUAGAGACUGAAGACAUUUAUUUUUGUAGGUACCUAUUAUUUAGCCCAAACAUCCACCACACAUGGCGUCAUUAAAAGCUUGCUCCCAAAUCUCUGUCCACCUGAGCCCAGCGUUUGUCUUAGCACAUAAUUCUAGGCAGUUAUUAACAACUGAUUGGAAAUUGUACUGGAGUUGAAAUUCGCUUACAACUUGAGUUCCAGGAAAUAGGAAGACAUGUCAAUAAUUUCUCUAAUUAUUCAUAUUUUAGUAAUGCAGCAUUGAUUUUACAUGGGGACAAUAAAUAAGCAUUUGUCAAUUUUCCUAGCUGCUCAGCACCAUUUGAACCCUUCCUAUUACUGGAAUGUUCCCUAUCUUAUAAAUAACACCUCCCUAAGAAUGGAGCCCACAACUCAUUUCCCCCAGCCUCCCUUGAAGAUAGACUCUACCAAUCACAUGCAGCUGUGCAGGACUUCUAAUUGGAAGAGAGCAGCAGGAUGCAGCUGGCAUAUCACAGAUUUCAUUUUUGGGUAAAAUGGAUUGUGAAGGCUUCCAGCUUUCUAGCGCAUAAUGGUGGAGAUUUUGGCACCUGGCUAUCAUCUCCAGUGGUGCAAGCUGAGGUAUCCUGAUCCAGCUUCAUCAGGAAUGGGGUCCUGGCUGGAGCAGAGAGUGGAUCCUGUGGUUUGCAACUAAGAAUCCUGAACCUGUGGUUAAAAAGAAAAAGCUCUAAUCCUUCAUCUUUCCUUGUAUUGGCUCUUGAUUGCUGUCUAAUAAAUUAUACUGUACUUUAGUGACUGACGACAACAAUAAACCUUACCCCAUCUCACAGUU